UACGAGUGCCCCGAGCGUUAUCCGGAAUCAUUGGGCGUAAAGGGUGCGUAGGUGGCGAGGUAAGUCAGGUGUGAAAUCUCGGAGCUCAACUCCGAAACUGCACUUGAUACUGCCCUGCUCGAGUACUGGAGAGGAGAUUGGAAUUUACGGUGUAGCAGUGAAAUGCGUAGAUAUCGUAAGGAAGACCAGUGGCGAAGGCGAAUCUCUGGACAGUUACUGACACUGAGGCACGAAGGCCAGGGGAGCAAACGGG
rnacentral:rRNA from 1 species